rnacentral:lncRNA from 1 species
AUUCACCCAACAACAUUUUUGAUGCAUGAUGCAUAUGGUGCUAAAUGCUGGGAAUGCAAACCUGAGUAAGUGUCUAUUUCAAAUCAAUAGGAGUACUUGAAGAUUCUCCCUGCUUACAAUGUAAACAUCAUGAAGAAAGAGAUGUGUUGGACUUGUUCAUCGCUAUAUUUCCUGGCUCAGAUCCUGGCACUGAGUAGACAUCAAGAAAUAUUUAAAUGAAUGAAAGAAUGAAUGAAUGAAUGAACGAACUGUGUCCUCUUGUAGAGCUGAGGGUGUUUUACCACUACCCUAAGAGCUGACACCAGGAGGUCUUGCUGCAAAGCCAGGCACUGUAUUCCACACUGUAUUUCCAUCAUCGCUUUUAAUGAGACUUCUUUGCAAAUAUGUAUGGUAUCUUUUAAAAUACCUGAUAACCAGCCAGCAGGGGUGGUCAGCUGCUACACUGGUAGCCACAAACAGAAUCCAAGACACAGAACUUCAUACGGUGUCACAGCUUCAUUUUCCAGGCUACAGCUCCCACUGCCCACAUCAGAACCAUCUGCAGGUCCAUAAGCUGUGAGUUUCUUUGGGAGUUGGGGGAGUGUCUUUUGGAUGUUUAUAACUUAUGCAUCUUAAUAUUGAAUGUGCACUUAAUACAUGGAACUUCAUAGUACUUGAUUUUUUAUGCAAAAAUGACUUAAUUAAAAUUUCUUGAAGAAACAUCA